UUGACCUUUAUUUGACUCAGCAACGGUUAUUAGCGGAAACUGCUGAAUUUUCUCUGCUGACAAGCUCACUCUGUUGGCAUCUACUAGCCCUCCGGUACUGUCUAGUCUUUCCAACGUAAGAAUUUGAACUCCUGAGUGUCUUGCAGCACAACUGCACAGGCUUGAUGCACACGGAUGUAGCAGACGAUUCACGUCAUCCAUGUUCGAGCUUAGCGGUGAGCACAUUCUCCCAACUCGCACAGGAACAGCCCGUGCUUUCCUUUCAAGGCCCCUAAAUUGUUACUUGGCUCUGGAUAGGACGUGUGCAGGUGUUCUGAUCUCAGUUUGAUAUCUACCUUUGCCUGACCUUGCACCGCCACGAAGUGCAGCACGUCAUCGUUGGUACAACCAGCUGUACCGAAUGCAGGAACUUUGUUUACUAUCAGAGCAGCUAGAACCUUCACCCCUGCUUCUCCUAGGUAAAGUUGAAUUAGAUAACGUCAAGUCCUUGUCAACGCGCGCUAGGCAGCGAUCGACUUUCUUUGCAAAGGGUAAAAGAGCGUUUUAGCACUUCAACCCUGCCCUCUCAUCAGUUUCGGUUGUCGUCUUCUUUGUUGAACGGCUAGUUCGUUCAAGCGACAUCUUUUACACAUCCUAGUGGGGGCGUGGUUGUAGGAGAAAUGACUCAGAAUUGCCAUCAAGCACUCUAGGCAAGCGGUCUGCGUUCUGCGGCGUUUCAGAUAGCUGAAUUUAAUCAACUGCAGUCAUUUGAAACAUAGAGCUGUUGCUGAGAAGGUAGGAAGGCAAGAAAAUGGGUGUCCGACGAUUGGGGCCGUUACCACGGGCGUUUGGCCGACUGUAACUCAUACAGAUCUUGGCUGACAUGCAGGGUAACGACACGAUUUGUAGACGCUACUGUCCGGUGAACGAUGUGUUUGUCCGAUGAACGGGGUAUGCAAGGCUCCGCACAGUUUUCAAUCUCACUCUAAGCAGAGAAGAGGGACUGCGUUCAAAAACGGAUAACUGAGAACUCGCGUCCGGAAUAUGAUGGUGUUUGAGGAACGGGGCCGCGCUCUACAAGAACCGAGACCUCACCCAUUGAUCGAUUGCUUUGCUGACGGACCAACGCAGAAGACAGGUUGCUAGAGCU